GGGUUGUGAGGUUAAGCGACUAAGCGUACACGGUGGAUGCCCUGGCAGUCAGAGGCGAUGAAGGACGUGCUAAUCUGCGAUAAGCGCCGGUAAGGUGAUAUGAACCGUUAUAACCGGCGAUUUCCGAAUGGGGAAACCCAGUGUGACUCGUCACACUAUCAUUAACUGAAUCCAUAGGUUAAUGAGGCGAACCGGGGGAACUGAAACAUCUAAGUACCCCGAGGAAAAGAAAUCAACCGAGAUUCCCCCAGUAGCGGCGAGCGAACGGGGAGGAGCCCAGAGCCUGAAUCAGCAUGUGUGUUAGUGGAAGCGUCUGGAAAGGCGCGCGAUACAGGGUGACAGCCCCGUACACAAAAGCGCAUGUGCUGUGAGCUCGAUGAGUAGGGCGGGACACGUGGUAUCCUGUCUGAAUAUGGGGGGACCAUCCUCCAAGGCUAAAUACUCCUGACUGACCGAUAGUGAACCAGUACCGUGAGGGAAAGGCGAAAAGAACCCCGGCGAGGGGAGUGAAAAAGAACCUGAAACCGUGUACGUACAAGCAGUGGGAGCACAGGUUUACCUGUGUGACUGCGUACCUUUUGUAUAAUGGGUCAGCGACUUAUAUUCUGUAGCAAGGUUAACCGAAUAGGGGAGCCGGAGGGAAACCGAGUCUUAAUUGGGCGUUAAGUUGCAGGGUAUAGACCCGAAACCCGGUGAUCUAGCCAUGGGCAGGUUGAAGGUUGGGUAACACUAACUGGAGGACCGAACCGACUAAUGUUGAAAAAUUAGCGGAUGACCUGUGGCUGGGGGUGAAAGGCCAAUCAAACCGGGAGAUAGCUGGUUCUCCCCGAAAGCUAUUUAGGUAGCGCCUCGUGAACUCAUCUCCGGGGGUAGAGCACUGUUUCGGCUAGGGGGCCAUCCCGGCUUACCAACCCGAUGCAAACUGCGAAUACCGGAGAAUGUUAUCACGGGAGACACACGGCGGGUGCUAACGUCCGUCGUGAAGAGGGAAACAACCCAGACCGCCAGCUAAGGUCCCAAAGUCAUGGUUAAGUGGGAAACGAUGUGGGAAGGCCCAGACAGCCAGGAUGUUGGCUUAGAAGCAGCCAUCAUUUAAAGAAAGCGUAAUAGCUCACUGGUCGAGUCGGCCUGCGCGGAAGAUGUAACGGGGCUAAACCAUGCACCGAAGCUGCGGCAGCGAACGUAUCACUUAAAGCGAUUCAGCGGGUUACGAUUGACG
rnacentral:rRNA from 1 species